rnacentral:tRNA from 5 species
GGAGAGGUGGCCGAGUGGCUGAAGGCGCUCCCCUGCUAAGGGAGUAUGCGGUUAAUCCUGCAUCGAGGGUUCGAAUCCCUCCUUCUCCGCCA